AACUCAAAUGAAUUGACGGGGGCCCGCACAAGCGGUGGAGCAUGUGGUUUAAUUCGAUGCAACGCGAAGAACCUUACCUGGUCUUGACAUCCACGGAAGUUUUCAGAGAUGAGAAUGUGCCUUCGGGAACCGUGAGACAGGUGCUGCAUGGCUGUCGUCAGCUCGUGUUGUGAAAUGUUGGGUUAAGUCCCGCAACGAGCGCAACCCUUAUCCUUUGUUGCCAGCGGUCCGGCCGGGAACUCAAAGGAGACUGCCAGUGAUAAACUGGAGGAAGGUGGGGAUGACGUCAAGUCAUCAUGGCCCUUACGACCAGGGCUACACACGUGCUACAAUGGCGCAUACAAAGAGAAGCGACCUCGCGAGAGCAAGCGGACCUCAUAAAGUGCGUCGUAGUCCGGAUUGGAGUCUGCAACUCGACUCCAUGAAGUC
rnacentral:rRNA from 1 species